UAAAUACAAUAAUGAUGAAUGGAAAAAAGAGAAAAUCCUU
rnacentral:tRNA from 1 species